rnacentral:rRNA from 1 species
AAACUGGAGAUGGCGACCGGCGCACGGGUGAGUAACACGUAUCCAACCUGCCGAUGACUCGGGGAUAGCCUUUCGAAAGAAAGAUUAAUACCCGAUGGCAUAGUUCUUCCGCAUGGUGGAACUAUUAAAGAAUUUCGGUCAUCGAUGGGGAUGCGUUCCAUUAGGUUGUUGGCGGGGUAACGGCCCACCAAGCCUUCGAUGGAUAGGGGUUCUGAGAGGAAGGUCCCCCACAUUGGAACUGAGGCACGGUCCAAACUCCUACGGGAGGCAGCAUG